UACGUAGGGGGCAGGCGUUACUCGGAAUUACUGGGCGUAAAGCGUGCGCAGGCGGUCUUUUAAGUCAGAUGGGAAAUCCCCGGGCUUAACCUGGGAACUGCGUUUGAAACUGGAAGGCUAGAGUGUGGCAGAGGGGGGUGGAAUUCCACGUGUAGCAGUGAAAUGCGUAGAGAUGUGGAGGAACACCGAUGGCGAAGGCAGCCCCCUGGGCUAACACUGACGCUCAUGCACGAAAGCGUGGGGAGCAAACAGG
rnacentral:rRNA from 1 species